UCCCACACCGUCGAUCCUUCCUCUCUUCUCGUGAGUCCCCGCACCCCAACGGUCGCUCCUCCUCACGCGGACACCUCGCAACGCCACCUCUCCUCCUUCGCCAAGCCCUUCCUCCCCAACCCAAUCGCCGAUCUUCUUCCCUCUUGAGCCACAGUCGCCGGUUCUCCCUCGCGCGAGCACCAAAGACCCACGCCACCGCACCCGAUCGCACGGCAUUGCUCAAGCCGCCACUUGUAGGAGCCUCCUAACCCCUCUACCCCGCACCUAUAGGCCCGCUAGGUAUUCCUCUCUUCCGCCCCUUUCUCCGCACCGAUCGAUCUUCAGCGAAAGGGAAGAAAAUCCAAGCCCUAGCUUCGCCGGAUUUGGAGCUUGCUGGAUUCGGUGGAGGCUGGCAUUUCAGACUGUGAUCUCUUGCUCCAGAAUUUUGCUCUUGCCCCGGAACCUUAAUUUCGAGCUACAAUCGUGGAUCACAUCCCUGUCAAACUCAACAGCAACAUGUUGUGUUUCCGAUUGGAGAGAAAAUUUGGGGUAGUAGGUAGAUGAAUCAAGGAUGUUUGGGAGAGUCCUGGCUGCCAAUCCCACUACACAUUCGAGGACAGUUUAGUGCUUUCGCGAGUUUGCGUUGUAACUAGUUGAUGUGAAUUUCGGAGUCUAGUCUGGUGAUUGCAGGUAUUUUGGGUAAUUGUUUUGUUGGUUUUACAUUCGUAUAUUUCUUUUUGUGAUUUUCGCAGUGUUCACUUUUAACUGUGUGGGCUGCUUAUAAACUGUGUGGUUGUGUUUACUUUCAGCCAUAUGGGCUGCUUAUAAACUGUGUGGUUGUGCUUA